UUACCAAAAGUUUUUUAGGGGAAGGUUUUUUAAUAACCUUUACCAGUUUGGGCUGUUUGGGAGAAUAAAGACCACACUCCACAGUGGGCUAUAUCACUAAACGUAUAGUUCACUACUAUUUUGUGGCCUACAUU